rnacentral:rRNA from 1 species
CCUACGGGUGGCAGUCGUGAGGAAUAUUGGUCAAUGGGCGCGAGCCUGAACCAGCCAAGUAGCGUGAAUGAUGACUGCCCUACGGGUUGUAAACUUCUUUUAUAAAGGAAUAAAGUGAUGCCAGUGUGCCUUUUUUUAUGUACUUUAUGAAUAAGGAUCUGCUAAAUCCGUUCCAGCAGACGCGUUAAUAAGGAGGAUACGAGCUUUAUCCGGAUUGAAUGGGUUUAACGGGGGCGUAGAUGGGUUUUUAAGUCAGUUGUGUAAGUUUGCGGCUCAACCGUAAAAUUGCAAUUGUUACUGGCAGGCUUGAGUACAGUUGAGGGAGGCGGAAUUCGUGGUGUAGCGGUGAAAUGCUUAGAUAUCACGAAGAACUCCGAUUGCGAAGGCAGCUUACUAAACUGCCACUGACAUUGAUGCUCGAAAGUGUGGGUAUCAAACAGGAUUAGAUACCCCUGUAGUC